GAUGAAGAACGCAGCGAAAUGCGAUACGUAAUGUGAAUUGCAGAAUUCAGUGAAUCAUCGAGUCUUUGAACGCACAUUGCGCCCCCUGGUAUUCCGGGGGGCAUGCCUGUCCGAGCGUCAUUGCUGCCCUCAAGCACGGCUUGUGUGUUGGGCCUCCGUCCUCCUCCCGGGGGACGGGCCCGAAAGGCAGCGGCGGCACCGCGUCCGGUCCUCGAGCGUAUGGGGCUUCGUCACCCGCUCUUGUAGGCCCGGCCGGCGCUUGCCGACACAUCAAUCUUUUUUCCAGGUUGACCUCGGAUCAGGUAGGGAUACCCGCUGAACUUAAGCAUAUAAUAAGCGAGGA
rnacentral:misc_RNA from 1 species